UGCGGUAACAUGGCUCUUCCUUAGCCAGCGGCGGUGGCGGCCGGAGGUGGGGUGGAGCGGUCCUGCCUCUCCGGUGGCGCGUCCCCGAGCUGCAGGGGUCCGGCGGGUCGAGGCUGGGCGGUGGUGGCGGAUGCCGGAGGAGCGCGGGCCCCGCCGCUUGGCGGCCCCUGGGUCACGAUGAGCGCCUCAGCGUCGGUCGGGGGCCCGGUGCCCCCGCCGCCCCCGGGCCCGGCCGCCUCGCUGCCCCCCGGUUCCGCCGCGCGGGCCCUGCAUGUGGAGCUGCCCUCUCAGCAGCGACGUCUUAGACACCUUCGGAACAUUGCUGCCCGGAACAUUGUUAAUAGAAAUGGCCAUCAGCUCCUUGAUACCUACUUCACACUUCACUUAUGUAAUACUGAAAAGAUAUAUAAAGAAUUUUAUAGAAGUGAAGUGAUUAAGAAUUCCUUGAAUCCAACGUGGCGGAGUCUCGAUUUUGGAAUAAUCCCGGACCGUCUUGAUACAUCCGUGUCUUGUUUCGUGGUGAAGAUAUGGGGUGGAAAGGAGGACAUUUACCAGCUUUUGAUUGAAUGGAAAGUCUGUUUGGAUGGGCUGAAAUAUUUGGGUCAGCAGAUUCAUGCCCGCAACCAAAAUGAAAUAAUUUUUGGGUUGAACGAUGGCUACUAUGGUGCUCCGUUUGAACAUAAGGGAUAUCCAAAUGCUCAGAAGAAUAUUCUUCUUCAGGUGGAUCAGAACUGUGUUCGCAAUUCUUAUGAUGUUUUCUCUUUGCUGCGGCUUCAUAGAGCCCAGUGUGCAAUUAAACAGACUCAGGUAACUGUUCAGAAAAUUGGAAAGGAAAUUGAAGAAAAGCUAAGGCUCACAUCUACAAGCAAUGAACUGAGAAAACAAACUGAGUGCUUGCAAUUAAAAAUUUUGGUGCUUCGAAAUGAACUGGAAAGACAGAAGAAAGCUUUGGGACGAGAGGUGGCAUUACUGCAUAAGCAACAAAUUGCAUUACAGGACAAAGGAAGUGCAUUUUCAACUGAACACCUCAAGCUCCAACUCCAGAAGGAAUCCCUGAAUGAAUUGAGGAAGGAGUGUACUGCGAAAAGAGAGCUCUUUCUGAAGACUAAUGCUCAGUUGACAAUUCGUUGCAGGCAAUUACUAUCUGAGCUUUCCUACAUUUACCCUAUUGAUUUGAAUGAGCAUAAGGAUUACUUUGUAUGUGGUGUCAAGUUGCCCAAUUCUGAGGACUUCCAAGCAAAAGAUGAUGGAAGCAUUGCUGUUGCCCUUGGUUACACUGCACAUUUAGUCUCCAUGAUUUCCUUUUUCCUGCAAGUACCCCUAAGAUAUCCUAUAAUUCAUAAGGGAUCUAGAUCAACAAUCAAAGAUAAUAUCAAUGAUAAGCUGACUGAAAAGGAGAGAGAGUUUCCAUUAUAUCCAAAAGGAGGGGAGAAGUUACAGUUUGAUUAUGGUGUCUAUCUUCUGAACAAAAACAUAGCACAGCUAAGAUAUCAACAUGGACUAGGGACUCCAGACUUGAGGCAAACCCUCCCUAACCUGAAAAACUUCAUGGAACAUGGACUAAUGGUCAGGUGCAUUAAACCCCAGAUGUCAUGUUUCCAGGUUUCCAGUCUGGGCCUAAGCCAAGCUGGAAAAAGACAUCCACUCAAGGCAAACGGCUAAUGAGAAUGUGUGCGGUGAACUCAGGGACUCGGUCCAGCUACCAAACCUCCAACUCUGGACCCCCAGAUCUAAUGCCGCAGGAUGCACAGGGACCCCUGGCUAAAGUGGAAGAUAAAGUAAAGCUACAUGUUUCCUGCAGCAUCCACCCCUCCGCAAAAUAUCCAAGGUUACUCUGGUGGUUUCUAAAAGUAAAAAUUCCCAAUAAGUUAUUCAUCACAACUUUUAAAUAAUGUACUAGUUUCAUUUGAUAAGUAAAUUGUCAACAGCCUUUAAAAAUUGGUCGUGUAAUUAGUAAAUCUCUGCAUUUUGACCUUUUCUUCCAUUUGGAUGAAAUAGUCAUGAAGCCAGACUGUAAUCAGACAAAAAGAAAUCUUGAAACCUUCCGGUUUUUGAUCUGUCAUUUGCCCCUUUAAUUGCUACCUUACAGUAUUUUAGGCAAUAGUAGAGGUAAAAUGCCCCUUUGCUUAUUAUAAGAAUUUAGCUUGUACUAAAAUGUGUAACGAAGGUUCCUUCUGGAGACUUUCUAUUAAAUGUGAAAAUCCAAAUUACUUUGUUAAAAAUCUAUUCACUGUGUUCUGUACUGCUCACAGCAGUUUGUUUUUUAAUAAUAAAGUUUUGGGAAUACAAAAUAAGUGAAUAUUCCAUUCAGUGGAGCAGCCAUUUAGAAUUGUUUACCAAAAGGUUUUAAUAAAAUCCAACGGCAGGAUACAGAAUUGUGUAUAUGUGCCACGAACAUAACUUUAGGUUUUUUUCUCCUUUUUAAUUAAACACACAUAUUAAAAUCAAAGUCUAAAAACAGAAUUCUCAGGAUUAAUUGUGAUUAUUUGAUAGGUAAUAGGCUUGUGAGUGAUUUUUAUUUUUUAUGUAGUUUAUAUUUUUUGAGUUUUCUGGGGAGUUUAAAUUAUUACAAUAAUUAAAAAUGCAUGUGUGUUUGUAUAUAUUUUAAUGUAAUCAUUCAACACUUCAGCUGUUUAGAACUCAGCUAUCUGAAAAAUCUGGAACACCGCUAAGAUCCUGGAAGUAAUAAAAAAAAUUAACUCCGAGCAGCCAAAACUCGUUACAAAACUCAUAAAGUCGAGCAUGUUAUGCCCUGGGUAUAGCUGGCCCCUCACUCAAGCCUAGGUACUCUUACUUUUGCACAUGGUUCUCAAGCCAUCCACCACAGGAGGCACAGCGAAUCAGAAGCAGACAUUAACAAAAGACAAGGGUCUACAGGCAAGCACUUCAGCGCAGGCAUACCACCAGCCUGGCAGUGAGAGAGGAACCAGGGAAGUGUGGGUGCAGGCGGGAGAGCCCUGAGAUCCAGACUCAGCACCACUAAGUGUCCUGUCAUCUCUUCCCCAUGUCACAGUUCAGUAAUACAUGUUCAUAUCGAUAGCCCAGCAUUAUCAAGAAAAUCCCCUUUUCUUCAGCUUACUCUCUUUAAGAUUAUAAGAAAGACUUUAAUAAAAAAUUUUUAAGGUCUUGUUACACAUGGCUAAAAAUGGGAGUAAAGACUACAUGUGAUGAUUGAAGGGCAAUGUCUAGACACCUAGACUUUCUUGGCUAUCGAUAAUAACUCAUUUCUUUACCAUUCUUCAGGGGGAACAUUUUACUGUUACUUGGGCUCUCCAAACUGUAUCCGAUACUGUCAUUACCUAGGUUCUCAUAAAAAUCUAAAGGAACUUUGAGAAUAUUACAAAAUCAGGAUGUCAGAAAAUGCCAAAAUCUCUACCUUGCAAAGCUUUAGAAUCCAUCCAUUAAAAGAAGAGUAGCACCCCAGAGCUUAGAUAUAGGUUAGGUAGGUUAAAUGAGAAAGCCUGUGUAAUGGCAUCUAGCUCAAGGUUGGGAUUUCAUUAGCAGUUGGCAAAUGUUAGUUGAAUUUGAAUGUGUUUCCCACUUGGGAUGCAACAGACAGUGUGGGCUCUGGAGUCAGACUGAAUCUAGUUUAGAUGUGGUUUCUGCAGCCUUUAACAAACCACAUAACCCACCCAGAUGCCUAUCUUUUCCACAAGAUAGAUGCGAGGUCCCACUUUAUUGAUGUGCAAUAAAAUCAUAGCUCCCUUCCCAUUAUAAUUGAGGGGAGGGAUGUCACACUUUAUUACUUUCCUUUGUACAGAGCCAUGGAGAUCUUUCAGGGAGUCUCAGAAUCCAAGAGGGCUACAAAACCCCUGUUCCCCUUGUGUCCGUAAGCACAGCUUAUUGUGCCCAGGCCUGUUUCUCAUGUCCUGCCUUUUUAUCAGCCCACCUGCAGCCCAGCAGGGAAGCAGAACUGGGUGCUUGCAGGGUACGGCCAGGUGGCAGGAGGUGGGUGGCAGUGGCAGUGAGGGGUCUUAGGUUGUUCACCUUUCAUAGCCAUGAUGGUCAAGUACCUGGCCUCUGGUUGUACCUCAGUGAUAGCACCUUCAGCAUUCCAGGCCAGUUCACUUGAUGUUUCCCACCCUCCUAGGCUGAGGUGGCAUCUAAAAGCUUGGCCUGUCUGCCCAGAAUAGACAGUCUGUGGGUGGUGCUGAUGCUCUGUUUUGGUUUGAUUAUCUAGACCCCCUGCAAAAUCAUUUAGAGAGGGAUGCUGUCAGCAAGUAGUAGAGGAAAAACAACAAGGUUGGCAAAAAUAUGUGGCUUACCCAAUUACUGUGAGUUUUGACAACAUAUUAACUGAAAACCUAGAUUAAGGCCGGUAGAUUUUUCUCUGUUUUGUUUUGUUUUUCUUGAGAACUAAAAACAGUAAUUUGCUGGCCUACUUGUCUUGUUUUUUAUGCGUACCAGUGACCACCCCUAAUUAUGAAAUCUCUCCUGGCACCAACACUUAUAGCCAAGCAACAGAGUCCGAUGGGCCCAUGGAUUAGAAGCCUUGUGGUUGCCUUUUUGCAAGAAGAAUAACCCUUGCUUAGGUGUGGUGUCUGAGACCACAGGCAUCAUCUAGCAUCAGGAAAAAUCUGAGAGAAGAGGGAUCAGGGAGCUGGCAUGAGGGCUUGUGGCCAUGGACAGAGGUGAAGGAAGGAACUCUAGAUCCUUUCUUCUUUUUCAGGGCACUUAUCACAACUGUAAUUUGAAAAUAUAUUAUUUCAGUAAUUAUGGAUGAUUUUUCUCCUGCAAGAUUGGAAGCUCCUCAGAGGCAGGGUCUGCUCUAUCUUGCAUCUGUUUCCCCUCCCCAAGGCCUGGAACAAGUAAUAGCUCUUUGUUGGCGACAGACAUCACACCUCCAGUGCAAUCCCUGUUCCAAAGAGACAAAGCUCCAUAUUUGGAGGCGCAGAUGUAGGCUU